CUUAGUGAGGUCUCCGGAUUGGCUUUGGGGAUCCGGCAACGGAACCCUGUUGCUGAGAAGUUGAUCAAACUUGGUCAUUUAGAGGAAGUAAAAGUCGUAACAAGGUUUCCGUAGGUGAACCUGCGGAAGGAUCAUUAUCGAAAUAAAUAUGAACAGGCUGUUGCUGGUCGGAAGACAUGUGCACGCUUGUCCUCUUUAUUUUUCCAACUGUGCACAUAUUGUAGACCUUUUUGAGGGAAUGAUGGCCAAGGUCUAUGUUACAUUUAACAACUUGUUGUAGAAUGGGGGGAUAUGAAACAAAUAUACAACUUUCAGCAACGGAUCUCUUGGCUCUCGCAUCGAUGAAGAACGCAGCGAAAUGCGAUAAGUAAUGUGAAUUGCAGAAUUCAGUGAAUCAUCGAAUCUUUGAACGCAUCUUGCGCUCCUUGGUAUUCCGAGGAGCAUGCCUGUUUGAGUGUCAUCAAGUUCUCAACCAUACCACGGUGUGGCUUGGAUUUGGGGGUUUUGCAGGCUUCAAAGAAAGUCGGCUCCCCUGAAAAGCAUUAGCGGUAUCCGAGUACCUUUGGUGUGAUAACUAUCUAUGCCUUGGUGUAUACGAUGCAUGCUGCUUCUGAACUUGCGUCUUGCGCAUUUUAUUGACAAAUUUGACCUCAAAUCAGGUAGGAUUACCCGCUGAACUUAAGCAUAUCAAUAAGCGGAGGAAAAGAAACUAACAAGGAUUNCCCUAGUAACUGCGAGUGAAGCGGGAAAAGCUCAAAUUUAAAAUCUGGNGGUCGUUGACCGUCCGAGUUGUAAUCUAGAGAAGUGUUACCUGUGCUGGACCGUGUACAAGUCUCCUGGAAUGGAGCAUCAUAGAGGGUGAGAAUCCCGUCUUUGACAUGGACUGCCUGUGCAUGAUGGUGCGCUCUCGAAGA
rnacentral:rRNA from 1 species